GAGCCGAGGGACCGAAAGGAGAAGGUGGAGCGAGCAUGGUAGGUAAUCGUAUGGCGGAAGGAUAAUAACCCACAAGGGAGCUUAACGAGGCUCCUGAUCCUCGAAAUGGCAAAUAGAGGAGACGGUCUUCAUUCUUUAUAUGGAGACCUCGUGAACACCAAUCGGUGUCAUGCGACAGAUGAAUGUCAUGUAACUCCCCGGGAUGAGUACAUCCUUUGUGUACGGGGCGAUGAGGUGCUUUGAGAUAAGCGGCGUACACAUACA
rnacentral:sRNA from 1 species